rnacentral:misc_RNA from 1 species
UUUCCGUAGGUGAACCUGCGGAAGGAUCAUUCAUAAUAAGUGUUUUAUGGCACUUUUUAAAUCCAUAUCCACCUUGUGUGCAAUGUCAGGGUUGAUUUUUCUCUCGAGAGGAUCAGCCCCAAACAUCAACUAUAUCUCAACUCACUCUCUGAAAAAUAUUAUGAAUAAAACAAUACAAAUUACAACUUUCAACAACGGAUCUCUUGGCUCUC